UGGGGAAUCUUGCGCAAUGGGGGAAACCCUGACGCAGCGACGCCGCGUGCGGGAUGAAGGCCUUCGGGUUGUAAACCGCUUUCAGCAGGGACGAGGCCUUAUGGUGACGGUACCUGCAGAAGAAGCUCCGGCUAAAUACGUGCCAGCAGCCGCGGUAAUACGUAUGGAGCAAGCGUUAUCCGGAUUCAUUGGGCGUAAAGCGCUCGUAGGCGGUCUGUUAGGUCGGCAAGUUAAAUCCGGGGGCUCAACCCCCGUCCGCUUCCGAUACCGGCAGACUUGAGUUUGGUAGGGGAAGGUGGAAUUCCUAGUGUAGCGGUGGAAUGCGCAGAUAUUAGGAAGAACACCGGUGGCGAAGGCGGCCUUCUGGGCCAUAACUGACGCUGAGGUGCGAAAGCUAGGGGAGCGAACAGG
rnacentral:rRNA from 1 species